rnacentral:rRNA from 1 species
UACAGAGGGUGCAAGCGUUGUUCGGAAUUAUUGGGCGUAAAGCGCGUGUAGGCGGCUUUGCAAGUCGGGUGUGAAAGCCCUCAGCUCAACUGAGGAAGUGCGCCCGAAACUGCAGAGCUUGAGUACUUAAGAGGAUCGCGGAAUUCCCGGUGUAGAGGUGAAAUUCGUAGAUAUCGGGAGGAACACCAGUGGCGAAGGCGGCGAUCUGGGAAGAUACUGACGCUGAGGUGCGAAAGCGUGGGGAGCAAACAGG